AUAGAUAUCUUAUAUCUUAACUGACCUCUUUAUUCAACCUACAUUUAAUCUAAUUGGAGCAUGGCCCAACCAACCUAAAUUACCACACCUAUUAAUCAAUCAUGAAAUAGUCCUUAAAAUAAACAAUAUAUAAAAAAUUUAAUAGGCGGGCCCAAACACCUAUUAUGUGACUAGUCAUUUUCACUUCAAGUGGAGGAGUCUAACA
rnacentral:lncRNA from 1 species